GAAAUCAACCGAGAUUCCCUUAGUAGUGACGAGCGAAAGGGGACCAGCCCUUAAGUGAUUCGAUGGUUAGCAGAAGGUUCUGGAAAGCUCCGCCAGAGUGGGUGACAGCCCCGUACGCGAAAACCGUCGGAUCAUGAAAUCGAUUAGGGCGGGGCACGUGAAACCCUGUCUGAACAUGGGGGGACCAUCCUCCAAGGCUAAAUACUCUCAGCUGACCGAUAGUGAACCAGUACCGUGAGGGAAAGGUGAAAAGUACCCCUGUUAGGGGAGUGAAAAGUACCUGAAACCGGAUGCGUACAAGCAGUGGGAGCUGGACCGGCCCGCCCGCGCUCUUCGGAGCGCACAGGGUUGACAGUGACUGCGUACCUUUUGUAUAAUGGGUCAGCGACUUACUCUUGCUGGCAAGGUUAACCGUCUAGGGGAGCCGUAGGGAAACCGAGUCUGAAUAGGGCGUCAAGUCUGUAGGAGUAGACCCGAAACCGGGCGAUCUAGCCAUGGGCAGGGUGAAGGUCAGGUAACACUGACUGGAGGCCCGAACCCACCUAUGUUGAAAAAUGGGGGGAUGACCUGUGGCUAGGAGUGAAAGGCUAAUCAAGCUCGGAGAUAGCUGGUUCUCCUCGAAAACUAUUUAGGUAGUGCCUCUUGUAUCACCUCCGGGGGUAGAGCACUGUUUGGGCUAGGGGGUCACCUAGACUUACCAACCCCAUGCAAACUCCGAAUACCGGCGAGUGCAGCAAGGGAGACAGACGGCGGGUGCUAAGGUCCGUCGUCGAAAGGGAAACAGCCCAGACCGCCAGCUAAGGUCCCUAAACCGUGAUUAAGUGGGAAACGAUGUGGGAAGGCAUAGACACCCAGGAGGUUGGCUUGGAAGCAGCCAUCCUUUAAAGAAAGCGUAACAGCUCACUGGUCAAGUCGGCCCGCGCGGAAGAUGUACCGGGUCUUAAAUCACGUACCGAAGCUGCGGGUUCGUGACGGUUCGCCGUCGCGAGCGGUAGAGGAGCGUUCUGUAAGCCGUUGAAGGCAGUUCGCGAGAGCUGCUCGAGGUAUCAGAAGUGAGAAUGCUGACAUGAGUAACGAUAAAGGGGGUGAGAAUCCUCCUCGCCGAAAGACCAAGGGUUCCUGUACAACGUUCAUCGACGCAGGGUGAGUCGGCCCCUAAGGCCAGGCCGAAAGGCGUAGUCGAUGGGAAGCUGGUUAAUAUUCCAGCACCGGCGUUUGUGGCAAUGGGGUGACGGAGAAGGCUAGGCGAUCCUGGAGUUGGUUUUCCAGGUUCAAGCAGGUAGGCUGGGAUUUCAGGCAAAUCCGGAAUCCCUCAAGGCCGAGACGUGAUGCCGAAAUGGAUCCAUCGUAUCCAUGAAGUCGUUGAUGCCACGCUUCCAAGAAAAACCUCUAAGCACUAAUCAAACGUUGACCGUACCCAAAACCGACACAGGUGGUCGGGUAGAGAAUACCAAGGCGCUUGAGAGAACUCGGGUGAAGGAACUAGGCAAAAUGGCACCGUAACUUCGGGAGAAGGUGCGCCGCCGAGGGUGACGGGACUUGCUCCCCUAGCUGUUGGCGGUCGAAGAUACCAGGUGGCUGCGACUGUUUACUAAAAACACAGCACUCUGCAAACUCGCAAGAGGACGUAUAGGGUGUGACGCCUGCCCAGUGCCAGAAGGUUAAUUGAUCAGGUUAGAUCUUCGGAUCGAAGCCUGUGAUCGAAGCCCCGGUAAACGGCGGCCGUAACUAUAACGGUCUUAAAGUAGCGAAAUUCCUUGUCGGGUAAGUUCCGACCUGCACGAAUGGCGUAACGAUGGCCACACUGUCUCCACCCGGGACUCAGUGAAAUUGAAAUCGCGGUGAAGAUGCCGUGUUCCCGCGGCAAGACGGAAAGACCCCGUGAACCUUUACUACAGCUUCACACUGGAUUCUGAUUUGGUUUGUGUAGCAUAGGUGGGAGACUUUGAAGCGCGAGCGCUAGCUUGCGUGGAGUCGCCAUUGAAAUACCACCCUUGCCACGUUGGGAUCCUAACUCAGGCCCAUUAGCUGGGUCGAGAACAGUGUGUGGUGGGUAGUUUGACUGGGGCGGUCUCCUCCCAAAGAGUAACGGAGGAGCACGAAGGUUGGCUAAUCCUGGUCGGACAUCAGGAGGUUAGUGCAAUGGCAUAAGCCAGCUUGACUGCGAGCGUGACGGCGCGAGCAGGUGCGAAAGCAGGUCAUAGUGAUCCGGUGGUUCUGAAUGGAAGGGCCAUCGCUCAACGGAUAAAAGGUACUCCGGGGAUAACAGGCUGAUACCGCCCAAGAGUUCAUAUCGACGGCGGUGUUUGGCACCUCGAUGUCGGCUCAUCACAUCCUGGGGCUGAAGCCGGUCCCAAGGGUAUGGCUGUUCGCCAUUUAAAGUGGUACGCGAGCUGGGUUUAGAACGUCGUGAGACAGUUCGGUCCCUAUCUGCCGUGGGCGUUUGAGAAUUGAGAGGAGCUGCUCCUAGUACGAGAGGACCGGAGUGGACGAACCUCUGGUGUUCCGGUUGUUACGCCAGUAGCAUUGCCGGGUAGCUAAGUUCGGAAGGGAUAACCGCUGAAAGCAUCUAAGCGGGAAGCCCACCUCAAGAUGAGUUCUCACCAAAUCUUCGAGAUUUCUAAAGGGCCCUCGUAGACUACGAGGUUGAUAGGCGGGAUGUGGAAGCGUUGCAAGGCGUUAAGCUAACCCGUACUAAUUGCCCGUGAGGCUUGGCCAU
rnacentral:rRNA from 1 species